rnacentral:rRNA from 1 species
UACGGAGGGUGCAAGCGUCAUUCGGAAUUAUUGGGCGUAAAGGGCGUUUAGGCGGCCAGAUAAGUCAGAGGUGAAAGCCCGGGGCUCAACAUCGGAAGUGCCUUUGAAACUAUUUGGCUUGAGUGUGGGAGAGGAAAGCGGAAUUCCCAGUGUAGAGGUGAAAUUCGUAGAUAUUGGGAGGAACGCCGGUGGCGAAGGCGGCUUUCGGGACCGACACUGACGCUGAGGCGCGAAAGCGUGGGGAGCAAACAGG